rnacentral:rRNA from 1 species
GACGAACGCUGGCGGCGUGCUUAACACAUGCAAGUCGAACGGAAAGGACCUGCUUUUGUGGGGUGCUCGAGUGGCGAACGGGUGAGUAACACGGGAGUAACCUGCCCUUGACUUUAGGAUAACUUCAGGAAACUGGGGCUAAUACCGGAUAGGAGCACCAGCUGCAUGGUGGGGGUUGGAAAGGUUCGGCGGUUGGGGAGGGACUCGCGGCUGAUCAGCUUGUUGGGGGGGUAGUGGCUUACCAAGGCUUUGACGGGUAGCCGGCCUGAGAGGGUGACCGGCCACAUUGGGACUGAGAUACGGCCCAGACUCCUACGGGAGGCAGCAGUGGGGAAUAUUGCACAAUGGGCGGAAGCCUGAUGCAGCAACGCCGCGUGCGGGAUGACGGCCUUCGGGUUGUAAACCGCUUUCGCCUGUGACGAAGCGUGAGUGACGGUAAUGUGUAAAGAAGCACCGGCUAACUACGUG